rnacentral:tRNA from 1 species
CGGGAUGUAGCGCAGCCUGGUAGCGCACCUGACUGGGGGUCAGGGGGUCGCAGGUUCGAAUCCUGUCAUCCCGACCA